rnacentral:rRNA from 1 species
CCUACGGGUGGCAGCAGUGGGGAAUCUUGGACAAUGGGCGCAAGCCUGAUCCAGCCAUGCCGCGUGGAUGAUGAAGGCCUUAGGGUUGUAAAAUCCUUUCGUUGGGGACGCGGUACCCAAAGAAGAAGCCCCGGCUAACUUCGUGCCAGCAGCCGCGGUAAUACGAAGGGGGCUAGCGUUGUUCGGAUUUACUGGGCGUAAAGCGCGUGUAGGCGGAUCGUUAAGUUGGGGGUGAAAUCCCGAGGCUCAACCUCGGAACUGCCUUCAAAACUGGCGAUCUGGACUCAAGUAGAGGCAAGUGGAAUUGCGAGUGUAGAGGUGAAAUUCGUAGAUAUUCGCAGGAACACCAGUGGCGAAGGCGACUUGCUGGACUUGUGUGACGCUGAGACGCGAAAGCGUGGGGAGCAAACAGGAUUAGAUACCCUUGUAGUC